rnacentral:rRNA from 1 species
AUUGAACGCUGGCGGCAUGCCUUACACAUGCAAGUCGAACGGUAACAGGUCUUCGGAUGCUGACGAGUGGCGAACGGGUGAGUAAUACAUCGGAACGUGCCUAGUAGUGGGGGAUAACUACUCGAAAGAGUGGCUAAUACCGCAUGAGAUCUACGGAUGAAAGCAGGGGAUCGCAAGACCUUGUGCUACUAGAGCGGCCGAUGGCAGAUUAGGUAGUUGGUGGGAUAAAAGCUUACCAAGCCGACGAUCUGUAGCUGGUCUGAGAGGACGAUCAGCCACACUGGGACUGAGACAAGGCCCAGACCCCUACGGGAGGCAGCAGUGGGGAAUUUUGGACAAUGGGCGCAAGCCUGAUCCAGCAAUGCCGCGUGCAGGAUGAAGGCCUUCGGGUUGUAAACUGCUUUUGUACGGAACGAAAAGCCCUGGGUUAAUACCCUGGGGUCAUGACGGUACCGUAAGAAUAAGCACCGGCUAACUACGUGCCAGCCGCCGCCGUAAUAC